CUACCGGGGUAUCUAAUCCCGUUUGCUCCCCUGGCUUUCGCGCCUCAGCGUCAGUGUCAGCCCAGCAACCCGUCUUCACCUCAGGUGUUCCUCUUGAUAUCUACGCAUUUCACCGCUACACCAAGAAUUCCGAUUGCCCCUUCUGCACUCUAGCGCAUCAGUAUCAGCUGACCGUUCCGAGUUAAGCUCGGAGAUUUCACAGCUGACUUAAUAUGCCGCCUACGCGCCCUUUACGCCUAGUAAAUCCGAACAACGCUUGGUCCCUACGUAUUACCGCGGCUGCUGGCAC
rnacentral:rRNA from 1 species